AUUGAACGCUGGCGGCAGGCCUAACACAUGCAAGUCGAGCGGGGUUUUCGGACCUAGCGGCGGACGGGUGAGUAAUGCGUAGGAAGCUGCCCGAUAGAGGGGGAUACCAGUUGGAACCGACUGUUAAUACCGCAUAAUGUCUACGGACCAAAGUGUGGGACCUUCGGGCCACAUGCUAUCGGAUGCGCCUACGUGGGAUU
rnacentral:rRNA from 1 species